rnacentral:rRNA from 1 species
GACGAACGCUGGCGGCGUGCUUAACACAUGCAAGUCGAACGGAAAGGCCCUGCUUUUGUGGGGUGCUCGAGUGGCGAACGGGUGAGUAACACGUGAGUAACCUGCCCUUGACUUUGGGAUAACUUCAGGAAACUGGGGCUAAUACCGGAUAGGAGCUCCUGCUGCAUGGUGGGGGUUGGAAAGUUUCGGCGGUUGGGGAUGGACUCGCGGCUUAUCGGCUUGUUGGUGGGGUAGUGGCUUACCAAGGCUUUGACGGGUAGCCGGCCUGGGAGGGUGACCGGCCACCUUGGGACUGAGAUACGGCCCAGACUCCUACGGGGGGCAGCAGUGGGGAAUAUUGCACAAUGAGCGGGAGCCUGAUGCAGCAACGCCGCGUGCGGGAUGACGGCCUUCGGGUUGUAAACCGCUUUCGCCUGUGACGAAGCGUGAGUGACGGUAAUGGGUAAAGAAGCACCGGCUAACUACGUG